rnacentral:tRNA from 1 species
GCGUCUGUAGCUCAGUGGAUAGAGUAUUUGUUUCCUAAGCAAAAGGUCGUGGGUUCGAUCCGUAGCUGAUGCG